UUGACCUCAGAUCAGGUAGGACCACCCGCUGAACUUA
rnacentral:rRNA from 1 species